CCAAAAUAUUUUAAAGUGUUGAUUAAAGUGAUUCAAGACUAAAUUAUAAUAAUUUGGGCUUGGUGGUGGUGUCCAGUGUAAAUUUCCCUCUGAUUCCACAUCCGCCCACAACUAUAAAUGUGUCCUUCUAGUAACGUGAUCUGCAAAACAGUGAACUAUUUAUUUCAAAAGCUUUUGCAGAAAACAUUAAAAAGUAACAGUUCCUAUUUUCAUAGUCAUCAGUUUGCUCAUGUUUUCUGUAUGAGGCCUGACCCUUGGUGUACAAGAAAUAAACUGCUUUUAGCAGGGGGAUGUCCUUAGCUCUUGGUCAUCUGGCAUAACAGGUAACAUGAUAAUUUACCACUGGUGCACUAGUGGGUUCAGAAUUUCAGCACUUCCAAAAUGAAGCACUUUUUGCCUUGUUACUAGAGAGAAGUCAGGUAUGCUCACAGUAGUGAAAAAACUAGAUGGCAUGUAUCGCGUAAAGCGCAUGUCCUUCUGCAUGGGGGAGAGUGGUGUCUAUGUGCUCUUGGACAUUGUGAUGUAAAGCACUUUUGCAUGUACAAGAGGUCAUUUGUUUCCAAUUUUUCCUCCAUGUUAUCUUUAUUUAAAAUUAAAGAGAAUUGUUUUCUUUUUCUGAUUAUUAAAAAGAAAUGUACCCUAGAGAAAAAUUAAAAACUGAAAAAAGUAAAACUAUAGUUAAAAAAUCCCACCAUUUGCAUUUACUUAUGUGAAUUUGCAUUUUGUUGUAUUUGCUUUAUGAGAAUGUGUUUACAUAAUUGAGAUCAUGCUGCAUAUAGAACUUCUGCUUUUUCUUUAAAACAAUCAUUUUCUCAUGUUACUCUGAGUUCUCUAACAUCAGUCUUAAUGAAUGCAUACUAUUCUAUUAUGGGAUGUGUGUUUUAUAACCAUUUUGGGACAUUGAAGUUGCUCCCAGUAUUUUGCUACCAUAAAUAUUCUGCAAUUCACAUCUUUACACAUAAAAAAUUUUCAAUAUUGCUAUAUUUGGUGAAGACUUUUAGGUUGCAAGUCAAAGGAAAUCAGUUUGCCUUGGCUUGAGAAAAAAGAAAAUGUAUUAGUUUACGCAGCGAAAAGCUAAGUGUGGAUUAGCUUUGGGCACAGCUGGACACAGCAGCUAAAUGAUGUUUGUUUUCGGAACCUUUCUGUCUUCUGGGCCACUUCCUUCUGUGCUGGCUUCGCUCUUAGGCCUGUUCCUUUACAUUCUUUCAGAAAGAUGGCAGCUCUUUCCCAAUCAUUCUGGAAGUCCAAUGAUGGCUCAUUCACAUGACUGAGGUCCAGCACCUAGGCCUGAGCCAGUCACUGGAGCCAGGGCAAGGGAAUGUUCUGGAUGGCCAACAGGACAGCCCUGCUCCCUCUUGCACCUCCCCUGCUCUGUUCAUCUGGCCCCUUUGCUGUUUCCUGAGCCCACCCAGCCUGCCCAUCACUGAUGACCACUGUUCCUAUCCUCUCUGCCUCCACACAGUUCCCCCCCCGUCCCCAUGGCUUGGUGCUCCCUCACUUCCUUCAGUCCCCGCUGACCACCCCUUCACUGUCUAUUCGCUUUCUCUGACUUCACUGACUUAUUGCUCCCUGAUGUUGUGUUAUAUAUUCAUGUAGUAUAAUUUGUCACCUUCACAAGAACCACAAGGGGUGACACCAUUUGUUUACAGCUCUAUCCCACCCUACAAUAUUGAUAAUAUUUAUCAAGUGAGUUAAUGAACGAGUCUGCCAGGCCAGGUGUGUACCCAUCUGUAGGGUCAGCCCACCCUAAGGACUAGAGAUGGGUGAGGGAAGGAUGUGAUUUCUCAAAAGAAAAAUAAGAAAUUGGGCAGCCAUCACCAGAGCAAGUGGACUAAAUGCCAGGCUGACCAAAACACUGAUGAUCUCCCUUACAAUUUUGGAUCACUUUCUAAAGCCAGUCCCAGGAGUGAGAAAUUCCAAAAAGUUAUAAAUGUUUGGGUUUCCUGAUAAGGACUGCUUCCACUUUUAGCCCUACAAAAAUUCUCCUUAUAGCAGAUAAAAUAAUAAUUCUUAGACGCAGAGCAUCACAUCAUGCCCCUCCGCAACUUCAAACAGAUAACCCUUCCGUGUACCAUGACCAAAGACUCACCCUGGCACCCAGGCCCAAACUGGUCCAGUCUCAGCCUUACCUCUGACCGCGCCCCUAUCCCGCUCCCCUUUCUGCACCAGGCCCUAACACACUGGCUUUCUCUUCUGCCCUGGAAUUCACUCAUCUUUAUCUUGGGACCUUCAUAUUUUCUCUUCCUUCCUCCUGGAAGGCCCUUCUUGCUGCUUCCUACCCUUCCUUCAGGCCUUAGCACAAAUGCCAUCCCUCCAGAGGCCCAAGAGAACCAAGAGGGGCCCAAGAGGCCUUCCACUCCGACGAUGCUUCUCUCCCGGCCUCUCUGGCAGACAUGGGCAUAUUUUUUUUUCACAGCACUCAUCACCCUUUUUAUUUGUUUCCUUGUUUAUUCUCUGUCUUCCCCCACUAGACUGUAAGCCCCAUGAGGCCCUUUUCUGUCCAUUGUUGUAUCCCCAAAAGUCAAACUGGUACUUGGCAGAUCAAAGACCCUCAAAAAAUAUUUGUUGGAAAAAAAUUAACAAAUUGCUCUCCAAGAGUGUUGUAGCAAUUUGCAAAUCAGCAGUAGGAAUACUCAGUUCAUCUCUCACUGAGGCAAUUUUUUUAGAAUACAACUCGGUGAGAUGGAUCCUCACUGCUUGAGUCCUGGAGGAGAAGCAAUGGCACUGUUUUCUAACAGACAACACUUCCCAUCUGAACAGAGAUCAAGCACUCUCUAUUAUAGCCAGAUGACAUCUUUAUAUUUGGCUUCAAAGAAAGAAGACCCAAUUUAAAGGAAAUAAAAUUGAGACAUACCUCUCCUGUUGCUAGAGCAACAAAAUUUUCCACUGUCUUGGGCACAACUU
rnacentral:lncRNA from 1 species